UACAGAGGUCUCAAGCGUUGUUCGGAUUCAUUGGGCGUAAAGGGUGCGUAGGUGGCGGGGUAAGUCAGGUGUGAAAUCUCCGAGCUUAACUUGGAAACUGCCAUUGAUACUAUCAGUCUUGAAUACCGUGGAGGUUAGCGGAAUAUGUCAUGUAGCGGUGAAAUGCUUAGAUAUGACAUAGAACAUCAAUUGCGAAGGCAGCUGGCUACACGAAUAUUGACACUGAGGCACGAAAGCGUGGGGAUCAAACAGG
rnacentral:rRNA from 1 species